CCCCUACCCUUCCUCACCCUUUCCCUUUCCCCCUACCCUUCCUCACCCUUUCCCUUUCCCCCUACCCUUCCUCACCCUUUCCCUUUCCCCCUACCCUUCCUCACCCUUUCCCUUUCCCCCUACCCUUCCUCACCCUUUCUCUUUCCCCCUACCCUUCCUCACCCUUGCCCUUUCCCCCUACCCUUCCUCACCCUUUCCCUUUCCCCCUACCCUUCCUCACCCUUUCCCUUUCCCCCUACCCUUCCUCACCCUUUCUCUUUCCCCCUACCCUUCCUCACCCUUUCUCUUUCCCCUACCCUUCCUCACCCUUUCUCUUUCCCCCUACCCUUCCUCACCCUUUCUCUUUUCCUCUACUUCUCGCUCUCUCUCCUCCUCUCUCUCCCUACUCAUCUCUCUCUCUUCCUACUCAUCUCUCUCUCUCUCCCUACUCAUCUCUCUCUCUCCCUACUCAUUUCUCUCUCUCCCUACUCAUCUCUCUCUCUCUCUCCCUACUCAUCUCUCUCUCUCUCCCUACUCAUUUCUCUCUCUCCCUACUCAUCUCUCUCUCUCCCUACUCAUCUCUCUCUCUCCCUACUCAUCUCUCUCUCUCCCUACUCAUCUCUCUCUCUCCUCCUCUCUCUCCCUACUCAUUUCUCUCUCUCCCUACUCAUCUCUCUCUCUCUCCCUACUCAUCUCUCUCUCUCUCCCUACUCAUCUCUCUCUCUCCCUACUCAUCUCUCUCUCUCCCUACUCAUCUCUCUCUCUCCUCCUCUCUCCCUUACUCAUCUCUCUCUCUCUCCCUUACUCAUCUCUCUCUCUCUCCCUACUCAUCUUACUCUCUCUCCCUACUCAUCUCUCUCUCUCCUCCUCCUCUCGCUCCUCGUCUCUCUCUCUCCUCCUCUCUUGCUCCUCUCCCUACUCGUCUCUCUCUCCUCCUCUCUCGCUCCGCUCCUCUCCCUACUCCUCUCUCUCUCUCUCUCUCUCUCUCUCUCUCUCUCUCUCUCCUCCUCCUCUCCCCUAUUCAUCUCUCUCUCCCUACUCAUCUCUCUCUCUCUCCUCCUCUCUCCCCUACUCAUCUCUCUCUCCCUACUCAUCUCUCUCUCUCCUCCUCUCUCUCCUCCUCUCUCUCUCUCCUCUCCCUACUCAUCUCUCUCUCUCCUCCUCUCUCGCUCCUCUCCCUACUCGUCUCUCUCUCUCUCCUCCUCUCUCGCUCCUCUCCCUACUCAUCUCUCUCUCUCUCCUCCUCUCUCGCUCCUCUCCCUACUCGUCUCUCUCCCUCUCCCUCCUCCUCCUCUUCCUCCUCCUCCUCUCUCUCGUCCACUCUCCCCCCUGUUUAAGCUAAUAAGCCUGAAAAGUGCCCAACAGUGUCUGUAAUCUGUCCCCUCCACACUCAUGUCUCAGUGUCGUGGCAUCAUCACAGCUGUCUGUCACUGGGUUGUUGGCAGCUUGUCAUUACAGCAAGAAGAUGAUGGAGAAGACUCCCUCACCCACUGACAAAAAUCCUCGGUGGUAUUUCAUCACAUACAGUGCCUUGCGAAAGUAUUCGGCCCCCUUGAACUUUGCGACCUUCUGCCACAUUUCAGGCUUCAAACAUAAAGAUAUAAAACUGUAUUUUUUUGUGAAGAAUCAACAACAAGUGGGACACAAUCAUGAAGUGAAACGACAUUUAUUGGAUAUUUCAAACUUUUUAACAAAUCAAAAACUGAAAAAUUGGGCGUGCAAAAUUAUUCAGCCCCCUUAAGUUAAUACUUUGUAGCACCACCUUUUGCUGCGAUUACAGCUGUAAGUCGCUUGGGGUAUGUCUC
rnacentral:lncRNA from 1 species